rnacentral:rRNA from 1 species
UAGGGUGGUUUUAGCGGUGGGGCUCACCUGUUCCCAUUCCGAACACAGAAGUUAAGCCCACCAGCGCCGAUGGUACUGCGAAAGCGGGAGAGUAGGCCGCCGCCAGUUUUUAUUAAAAAGUCUCAUACAGUUUUGUGUGAGACUUUUUU